GCAUUAAAAAAUAUAUACAUAAUAUAUAUAAAAUACCAAAAAAAAGAAGGGGGAAAAAAGAGAGAAGGGAAGGGGGAAAGGAAAUCCGGCCAAGGGGGCCAGUCACCGAUCGAUCGUCGGUCGUCGCCCGUCGCCGGCCACCGCCUGCGGUGGUCGAAAAAGGUAAAUUUUUUUUAACAAUAUAUGUAUAUAUAAAGAAAGAAAAAAAACAACACAAAAAAAGAAAAAAAAGAUUCGAAAGAAGAGAAAAAAGAAAAAGAUGCAAUCUUUUUAUUGAUGUUUCUUUUGUGUUCAAAAUUUGAAGGGAUUUUUGCGUUUUUUUUCAAUCUCUGUAAAAAAUCCCCCCCUCCUUACAUGAUUUUUGAAUGGCUUUUUAUAAUCAUCUUUUACAUGAUUUUCUAUUAUUUCUUUUUCUAUUUUGUAAGUGAUGGUGGUAGACAAUGGAUAUCAAAAAUGAGAGGAAAAAUGGGGCAAGUGGGAAAGUGGCUAGGUGGCUAGGGUUUUUUGGUUUUUUUUGGUUAAGUUUUUUUUUUUUUUUUUUUUUUUGGGUUAAGUUUUUUUUAGGGGGACUUAAUGGGCUUUUGAAUUGGGUUUAAUAUUUGGGUUUUGUAAUGGGUUUGGGUAGAUGUAUAUGGGUCAUGGGUUAAGAGUUUUAGUGGGUUUAGAGGUUUGGUUGGGUUUUGAUAUAAUCGAGCCCAGGCAAUUUGAGCUUCUACAAGGAUGAUCGAGAAGCGACGUGGAACAAACCCUCUUCAAUACCGCCUAGUCCAGUCAACCGAGGAAGACGACCCAUAGGACAUUUCUGAUGAUAUCCCUCUACGACACGAGGACCCACCGUCUCAGCCACUACCCAUCCAUUGUUCAGUUCAUGCGGCGGCUUCAUACUCUGACAUCUCAAAUUGGAUUGCUAAGUUCCAGAGGUGAAAGUCCAACAUCUACUACAUUCCUUUUCAGAUCAUUAUCCUCUUUUAAUUAACAUAAGAAUGAUUGAAGAACGACUGCAGAAUAAUACUUUCAAAAUUAAAGCUUGGUGGUUAUUGGAAUAUUUUUUCUUAAACCAAGCUAAAAUUUUGUGGGAGAAUUCAACUGUGGAGUUGCUGCAAAAGCUGGAAAUUUUAAAAAAAGGACUGAAACAAUAGGCUGGGCAAAUUCAAGUUAAUAGGAAGAAAAGAAAACAGUUCCUAAUGGAAAAAUUAUAUGAAUUAUCUGAAGCUGAACGAGAUGACAGAAAUUUAGCUGAGCUGAUUGGUACAAAAAUUGAUUUAAAUUUUGAGAUUGAAAAGGAUGAAUGCUAUUGGGAAUAGAGGGCUAGGCUGAAAUGGUUAAAAUUUAACGAUAAAAACACAACAUUUUUUCACAAUCAAGCAAUGCAACGCUGGAGGACAAAUUUUAUUCUUAAGUUGCAAAAUGAAGACGGAAGAGAAAUAUAGUGCUUAUUCCAAAAAUUACCGGCCCUUUAAAUAUGACACAGUUUAGGCCGAUUAGCCUAUGCAAUGUGCUUUAUAAAAUUCUGGCAAAGGUUAUAGCAAAUAGAUUUCGGGGAGUAAUUGAAAAAUACAUUGAUGGAGCGCAGAGGGCCUUUGUACCAUGACGAUUAAUAUCAGAUAAUGUGUUGUUAGCCUAUGAAAUACUGCAUAUACUUAAACAAAAGAAAUUGGGAAAGAAAGGGUUUAUGGCAGUAAAACUCAAUAUGAGUAAAUAGAGUCGAAUGGAAUUUUUUAAAGGAGAUAAUGGUACGAAUGGGUUUGCUAAAAAAUAGGUAGCUGCUCUCAUGAAAUGUGUAACUGUCUCUUAUUCAGUGGUCAUCAAUGGGCAUAUUGGAGAACAUUUUCUACUAACUAGAGGACUUUGACAAGGUGAUCCUUUAAGUCCGUUCUUAUUUCUUUUAUGUGGGGAGGGUCUAUCGAGCUUAAUGAGACUAACAAUGAAUGGAGGCUUUUUCAAAGGCGUCAAGAUAAGUGCCCUACAGGUAUCCCACCUUUUAUUUACUGAUGAUUGCAUUUUAUUUGGGGAGGCAACAGGCAGGGGAGCUAAUUUGUUUAAGGACAUCUUACGUGAGUACAGAUCUUACUCAGGUUAAUGUGUAAAUUUUGAUAAAUCAAUAGUAUUUUUUAGCAAAAACACAUCGGAGGAGGAUAGACGGUUGAUUGUCAAUUUAUUGGAGGUCCACAGUUCAAAUGAGACAGAGCAUUAUCUAGGGCUGCCGAAUAUGGUUGGUCGAAUAAAGAAGGAAUCUUUCCAAAAUUUAAAGGACUAAAUCAAAAAGUGUAGUAAUAACUGGAGUAAUAGAUUUUUAUCUCAAGAAGGAAAAGAAGUUUUUAUCAAAGCCAUUCUUCAGGCUAUACCAACUUACACGAUGGCUUGUUUCUUAUUAGCCAAAGCUCUAUGCGAUGAGCUCGAAAGUAUCGUUGCAAAGGUCUGGUGGCAGAAGGGAGAUGGAAAAAGAGGAAUUCAUUGGUACACUUGGAAAAAUCUUUAUUUUUUUAAAAGAAAAUGGUGGUUUAGGUUUUCAAAAUUUUAGCCAAUUUAAUAUUGCAUUGUUAGCCAAACAAGGUUGGCGUCUAAUUAACUAUCCAAAUUCUUUAUUGGCCAGAGUUUUAAAAGAAAAAUACUAUCCACAAUCAAGUUUUAUAAAUACAGAGUUGGGAAAUUUACCUUCACUCACCUAGAAGAGUAUUUGGGCAGCUAAGGGCCCCUCCAAAAUGGGUUGUGCUGAAAAGUGGGUAGAGGGGAUAAAAUUUCAAUUUGGAAUGAUAGUUGGAUUCAGGGGAUCGAGAAACUUGAAGGGCAAAACAGAUCAAACAAUGAGGAGUUAAAAUUAGUUUCGGAUCUUAUUAAUAUUUCGAACAGAAAAUGAAGGACAGUUUUGAUUAAUAAUACCUUUCAAGUGGAUAUUGCUCAGAAAAUCACACAAACCCUCUUGCAGAGACAGACCACAAAUAUUUUCAAGUCUGGAAAAAAGAACUGUCUGGCGAAUACAAGCCAAAAUCAAAGAUUUUUACAGAAAACUUUGGACCCUACAGCUACCCUCAAAAAUCGCAAUCACUAUUUGGCAAAUUUCCUGAGAUUUCAUUCCUAAUCUAGCUAAUCUCAGGUACAAAAGAGUUCUUUCAAACGAUAGAUGUCCCCAAUACUGCUCCUAGGCUAAAGACAGUCUCCACAUCUUUCGUUAAUGCCCUAUAUCAACAAUCAAAAUUUGGCAAAUUUUACAUCUUUCUUGGGUCAUUAAUAAUAUGAGUCAAAAUAUAUGGGAGUGGUUAACUUGGGUUUUCAAGAAAGGUAUUGAUGAACAAUGUCAACUUUUUUUGUUAUGCUAGUGGUUAAUCUAGCUUUCCAAGAAUCAGUUUAUUCAUAAGAUGAAAAGCACGACAGGAAAAGAUCUAGCACAAAGAGUAUAGAGGUAUAUGGAGGAAUAUGAAGGAGUGAGAGCAAUGAAGAUUCCUUUAAAUACCGUCAAAAGCCACAGAAAUCAGGAAGACAUACCUAGAAUGAUGAUUCAGUUUGAUGCAGCAUUUGAUAAUAGAAACUUCAAGUCAGCAACGGGUCUGGUGGUUUGGGGCUUGAUGGGUAAACUACUGGUCUCAAAGUCGACUCUUCACAACAACAUUUGCUCCUCAUUUGUAGUAGAAGCAUAUGCAUGUUUUGAAUCCAUAAAUUUAAGGACCUCAUUGGGUAUGCAAUCAGUUAAAAUCAUGGGGGAUUCCAGAACAAUAAUCAAAAAGUGUCAAACGACAUCAACAGAUGAAUCAGUGAUCGGAGCGAUUAUCAGAGAUAUUCAGAAUAUGAAAACUUGUUUUCAAGAAAUUAACUUUCAGCAUAUUCACAGAUUAGGAAAAUUUAAAGCUCAUAGAAUCGCAAAGAACACGCUUGAAAGAGGAGAGAUUACGUACCUGUUGAGAGAAUGGUUGAAUAGCCAAGCUUUCAUUUCGAAGGGGCGAUGGUCACGAUGCCCAGACUGAAGGAACACUUUGAGAAAAAUGAGUUCAAAAUUAGAUAGCAAAUAAUGUUUAUAUCCUUUGGAAAUCGCUAUCAUCAGAACGGAUGGGAUUUUGAAAUGAAAAGACGAGCAACUUAAUGGAAUCCAGCCGUUUGAGUUGACUGGGUUAGAUAAGUAGGUUUCCUAUUUUUUUCAGUCUCAUUUAUUGCUUUUCGUUUUCU
rnacentral:lncRNA from 1 species